UCCGGCGAGACCCUGGCUGCUGUGCCCCGCGGCUUGUGCGCGCUUGUGGGCUGCGCGGGCCUUCGGGAGAUCGGUGCGGAUCCUUGGGGAAUGCAGGCCUGUGGUAGUCUCCUUUCUGGACUGAGAAGAGAAGAAUGGAGAAGGGCCCCUUCCCAUUAGUGCCUUUGCACUGGUUUGGCUUUGGCUACACAGCACUGGUUGUUUCUGGUGGGAUCUUUGGCUAUGUUAAAACAGGCAGGGUGCCGUCCCUGGCUGCAGGGUUGUUCUUUGGCAGCCUAGCUGGCCUGGAUUCUUACCAGCUGUCUCAGGAUCCAAGGAACGUUUGGGUUUUCCUAGCUGCUACAUCUGUUACUUUUGUUGGUGUUAUGGGAAUGAGAUCCUACUACUAUGGAAAAAUCAUGCCUGUAGGUUUAAUUGCAGGUGCCAGUUUGCUGAUGGCCGACAAAGUUGGAGUUCGUAUGUUGAUGACAUCUGAUUAG